UACGUCGGGGGCAAGCGUUGUCCGGAAUCAUUGGGCGUAAAGCGCGUGUAGGCGGCUUGGUAAGUCCGCUCUGAAAGCCCGGGGCUCAACCCCGGGAGGCGGGUGGAUACUGCUGGGCUCGAGUCCGGAAGAGGAGUGUGGAAUUCCUGGUGUAGCGGUGAAAUGCGCAGAUAUCAGGAGGAACACCAAUGGCGAAGGCAGCACUCUGGGACGGUACUGACGCUGAGACGCGAAAGCGUGGGGAGCGAACAGG
rnacentral:rRNA from 1 species